rnacentral:rRNA from 1 species
UCGCCUGUUUAACAAAACAUAGUUUAAAGAAAAAAAAUUUUAGAUAAAUUCUGCUCAAUGAGUAAGUUAAAUAGCUGCAGUAAAUUAACUGUACUAAGGUAGCAUAAUAAGUUGCUUUAUAAUUAAAAGCUUGAAUGAAAGAAAUAAUGUGAAAGAAGCUUUUUAAACUAAAAUAGUGAAAAUUAAUAUUUAAGUGAAAAAUCUUAAAUAGAAUCAAAAGACAAGAAGACCCUUUAGAACUUUACAAAUUGAUUUAAUAUCAUUUAGUUAAUUUGUUAAAUUGGGGAGAUUUUUAAAUAAAUAAAUCUUUAGAUAUAAAAAAAUGAUUUAAAUCAGAUUAAAUUAUCCAAAUGUGAAAUAAAACAAGUUACCUAAGGGAUAACAGCGCAAAAUUUUUGAGAAGUUCUCAUUUACAAAAUAAAUUGCGACCUCGAUGUUGGAUUAAGAACAACUUAUAAAGAAAAAUUAUAAGAGUUGGUCGUCCCGA